GCGACGGGGAGCUGCUGCAGCUGCUGCUCGGAUCAUGUGAGGUUCCCUUGAAGAUCUCGCCAGCAUUCACAUGAACAUUUAACAUUUAAACCAAACGUCAGGUAAAAUCACAUCUGCAGCUCCUCCCCAACAGGGCAAAAACAGGAAGUGAUGAAUGCGCAGGUGUUGUUCAACUCAGAAACCAAACGCCGAGCGCUGGAAUCCAAAUGGUUUCCUCUGCUCCACUACAGUAGGUGUUUGUGUUACAGGGUUCGUGUUUCUUAUGCACGAUUGGCUCCGAACCAGCGGCGACGUCACUAAAUCCUGCCUGUAUGAACACGACUUGCACUCGACCUGCAGUGCUGAUCAACUCCAGCUGGAAGGAGCCAGUGUGUCAUCGCAGUUGCAAAAUCUUCCAAAAGAUUUUCCCAAGCGUUCGUUCCGAGGCGUGUUUCUCGCUGUCGUCUGUGAUUUUAUGCAGAUGCAACAUUUAGUCAUGUUUUUGUUUGUCUGCCUUAUUAGAUUCCCCACAGGCUGCAGAGAGUUGCUCAUACAAGACACACUGUGAACAGUGUGGAGUGUUUAUCACAUAAAAACGUAGUGCUCCUCAACUGGAAGAGCGUCAAAGGCUUGACUCGACUCUACGUAUAGAGACGUCUUGUUAAUGACCCAAAAACAGACGAUUCAUUCUGUCUGUAUGAAGUUAAAAUAGAGGGAAAUGAAUCCCUAAUUCAUUUUUCUGGAGAACCCCCAGGCCACCCGAAGGGCCCCACAGGGGUCCCCAGGCCUCACUUUGAGAACCCCUAUAUUGGAUCAGCUUAACAGAAACAUCCCAAAGCUAUGUUCAUUUAAAUAACACAUUGUAUUAUGGUAGAAAGCAAAAAAAACAAA